rnacentral:lncRNA from 1 species
AAAGGGCUAAUGCAAGAAUCAAUACUAAAGACUACAUUUACUCAACUCUCUCAGUGACUUGCAAUACAUAAAUCGAGUUUAUACACUUUUACAUAUACAUCUACGAGCACCGGUUGGUAAUUAUUGUACAAUCGGAUUACGAAUAUCGUCGGGCUACUCCCACGCCCCUUUGAACCGCUCGUUUUAGACCGUCCACGUGUCUUAGCGUGUUGGACAUUCGCCCACGCAAGCGCGGGUGGGACCG